CCUCCUCCUCGUGUUCCGCGCCGCCAGCCACCUCCUACCUCGCAGCCGCCGCCCCCUCCUCCAAAUCCGUGCCUGGCCACUCCACCUCCGCCACUUGUCGCCGCCGCCACCGCGUCCCGGACCAACCUGGGCGCGACACGUCGCCUCCCAGCGCCCCGCGGCCAACCCCAACGCGCCGCGCGUCCUCCCCCGCGCCCCACUUCCCCGCGGCCCGCCGAAGCCCAUCGCCAGCCCGCCCUGGGCCACCGCCGGGCCCGUGCACCCGCGCGAGCGCUGCUCUGCGCCCCGCGCCCGAUGCGCACUGGCUCCAGGAGAGGAGCUCCUCGAGCGGCUCCCGUGCGCCGGCCUCCCCUCGCGGAGCCGCUGCCGCCCGGCUCUUCCGCCUCCGCCAGCCGACCUCCGGCUACCUCCAUCCACCUCGCGCCGCCGCCCAUCGCCGUAGCUCGUCGCCAGCCCCUCCUCCCGCCAGAUCCGGCCGGAAUGGAUCCGCCACGGCCGGAUCUGCCGUCCCCGCCGCUGGAUCGGACCCCUCCGCGCUCCUCCCGUCGCCGGAGUAGCCCUCCACCGCCGCCGCCAUGACCCUGCUCGGCACAGGCAGAGGAGCUGCUCGUCCUGCGCGCACCGCGCCCGCGUGGGCCUCCGCAGCGCCAGGCCCAGCCAAGCCAGCGCCAGGCCCAGCCAAGCCGGCCUGCUUCGGCCUCCUCCGCGGCCUGCCCUCAGCCUCCUCACCGACGGGCUGAAGCCCAUGAUCCGGUAAUGUUGCGAUUGUGAGGAUUCGUUCGACUACUCCCGUUCGUCUUCUACAUGGACUCGUUCUUCUUCCUAGCGGGAUUUCAG